CUUAAUACAUGCAAGUCGAGCGAACAGAUGAGGAGCUUGCUCCUCUGACGUUAGCGGCGGACGGGUGAGUAACACGUGGAUAACCUACCUAUAAGACUGGGAUAACUUCGGGAAACCGGAGCUAAUACCGGAUAAUAUAUUGAACCGCAUGGUUCAAUAGUGAAAGACGGUUUUGCUGUCACUUAUAGAUGGAUCCGCGCCGCAUUAGCUAGUUGGUAAGGUAACGGCUUACCAAGGCAACGAUGCGUAGCCGACCUGAGAGGGUGAUCGGCCACACUGGAACUGAGACACGGUCCAGACUCCUACGGGAGGCAGCAGUAGGGAAUCUUCCGCAAUGGGCGAAAGCCUGACGGAGCAACGCCGCGUGAGUGAUGAAGGUCUUCGGAUCGUAAAACUCUGUUAUUAGGGAAGAACAAAUGUGUAAGUAACUAUGCACGUCUUGACGGUACCUAAUCAGAAAGCCACGGCUAACUACGUGCCAGCAGCCGCGGUAAUACGUAGGUGGCAAGCGUUAUCCGGAAUUAUUGGGCGUAAAGCGCGCGUAGGCGGUUUUCUAAGUCUGAUGUGAAA
rnacentral:rRNA from 1 species